AGAGAGUUAUAUCGGCAUACUGUUGGGUCCUGAGAGAACACGUGAGUGAUCUUUCAAGGAAGAAACGACGAGCGGGAAACGCAGGUCAUACCGCAGCGGGAACUUCGGUUCUGGUUGGUCCGGUGUCUGCACUGGUUUUCUGCUUGUGUGUUGUUUGAGAACUGCACAGUGGACGCGAGCAUCUUUGUUGUAAGUGUUUAAGAGCGUACGGUGGAUGCCUUGGCACCAGGAGCCGAUGAAGGACGUAGGAGGCUGCGAUAAGCCUCGGGGAGCUGUCAACCGAGCUGAGAUCCGAGGAUGUCCGAAUGGGGAAACCCAGCCACAGUGAUGUGUGGUUACCCGCGCCU
rnacentral:misc_RNA from 1 species